AUGAGCCAAGGAAUCUGCAUUAAAAAGGACCCGGAUCCCACCAGACCAGGUUUCAUGUUAUCUAAACCAGAUAGUUCAGGGGAGGUAAUCUUUAAUUCCCCUUUCUCAAAAAGAAAAAACACCCUGAAGUUAUCCACGUGUCUUAUUUCAAACCUGCCCUAUCCUAAGGUAUUUGUGCCUUUACGAAGAAAGUUGCCCAGAGCUUCUUUCCACCAAUUUGGAGUCCUCUGAUUUCAAUGGAGGUGCCAACCCUCCCCCCCCCCAACGCCGCCGCCUCCAAUGCCCGCUUUAAGAAAAGUGUGAAUGAAAUUGAGUUCUCCGAACUCGUGGCUUUCCAACCAACCCAACCGCUCCGCUUCGAUAUGGGACGAGGCGGCGAUGGCGGUGAUGGGAGAGAAUGAAACAAACCGGCGCGCGAUCGCUUUGUUCCCGUCAAGUUAAGCGUGAAAUCUUUUUGUUGGCUUCUUGAAAAGGGAGGCAAAAGUUGCUGUUGAUUGUCAAAGGGACAAAUUUAACUCCCCGAAAGCGGAAGUGUUUUCCAAAGUUGGCCAGAGAGGGGAAACUCGGCCGGCGUUUUUAAUUUAUCGCCGCUUUGACGGGGGAAUUGGAGGUGUCGGAGGACAGAUCCGCGUUUGCACGCCUUUAAAAGCUCCGCAAUUGAAACAAAGCUCUUUGACUUCAAUGACUUGAUAAAGAUGUAUCUUUUUUUAAAAAAAAUCCGAAAAGUUUGGGCCGCAAAUAAAUUUCUCCCCCCUUUUUUUCUCUCCCCUCUC
rnacentral:lncRNA from 1 species